GUGGUUAAAAAAAAUCUAUAUUUCAAUUUUGCUAAUAUACAAAUGAAUUUUAGGCGGAAAAAUUACCUCCAUAAUCAAUAAAACACUUGACCUGGUUAAAAUGAUGGAAAUUCUUCCCUCUAAAAGCAUUAUUUGGCGGAAAAACUUCCUCCGAAAUACAUGUAAUUUAUGAGUUAAAAAAAAAAGAAAAGAAAAAUGAAGUAAAGCAUAGCUACUUCUCCAACGUUCUUCGGUUCUUCCCAUCAUUCUCUAUUCUCUAACGACCAUCUCCUAAAGUGAUAGAUCAAGUCAAAGACGAAUCCACGAAAGAAUUGCAAAACUUGAGCUCCAACUCUCUUCCUUUACUUCUUCCGAUCGCCGCCACUGACGCCACCCCAUAGCGUCUUUCCGGUGAUCUGAGAGGUGCAAAAAUGGCGAUAUGUUUGGUGGCUUCAAUUGCAAAGUGCAAGGUGGCUUGUCAGCAAGGGCCAAGGGAAGGAGGAUAUCUGAAGCCAAGAAGGAAUUAAUGAGGUUACGAGGAAAUAACGAUGUCACAGAUGUCAAGGUAGUCUGGUGCCAGGAAGAGGCAAUGAACAUGGGCGCUUACAGCUAUAUUGUACCUCGUCUAUGUCCA